rnacentral:tRNA from 1 species
AAGGGAGAACGCAAUCUCGGGAGAGUGCUAAUUUUUCCAAGCCGUGGUUAGACUCCAUGGGUCCCUUG